AUACCUAAAGCAGUGAACCAGAUUCCUACUACAGGCCAAGCAGCCAAGAAGAAGUGUAAAGAACGAGAGUUGUUGAAACUAGCAUAUUGGAAGAUUAAUCAGCCAAAAUAACCAUGAGCAGCCACAAUAUUAUAAGUUUCUUCCUCUUGACCAAAUUUGUAACCCUCAUUAGCAGAUUCAUUUUCAGUAGUUUCCCUGAUCAAACUAGAGGUUACCAAGGAACCAUGCAUAGCACUGAAUAGGGAACCGCCGAAUACACCAGCUACACCUAACAUGUGGAAUGGAUGCAUAAGGAUGUUGUGCUCUGCCUGGAAUACAAUCAUAAAGUUGAAAGUACCAGAGAUUCCUAAAGGCAUACCAUCAGAAAAGCUUCCUUGACCAAUAGGGUAAAUCAAGAAAACAGCAGUAGCAGCUGCAACAGGAGCUGAAUAUGCAACAGCAAUCCAAGGACGCAUACCCAGACGGAAACUAAGUUCCCACUCACGACCCAUAUAACAAGCUACACCAAGUAAGAAGUGUAGAACAAUUAGCUCAUAAGGACCACCAUUGUAUAACCACUCAUCAACAGAUGCGGCUUCCCAAAUUGGGUAAAAGUGCAAUCCGAUCGCCGCAGAAGUAGGGAUAAUAGCACCAGAGAUAAUAUUGUUUCCAUAAAGUAAAGAACCAGAAACAGGCUCACGAAUACCAUCAAUAUCUACUGGAGGGGCAGCGAUGAAGGCGAUAAUAAAUACAGAAGUUGCGGUCAAUAAGGUAGGGAUCAUCAAAACACCGAACCAUCCGAUGUAAAGACGAUUUUCAGUGCUAGUUAUCCAGUUGCAGAAGCGACCCCACAGGCUUGUACUUUCGCGUCUCUCUAAAAUUGCAGUCAUGGUAAGAUCUUGGUUUAUUCAAAUUGCAAGGACUCCCAAGCACACGUAUUAACUAGAAUAUAGAUAAUAGAAGGCUUGUUAUUUAACAGUAUAACAUAGACUAUAUACCAAUGUCAACCAAGUCAGCCCAAAGAUUAGCUAUCCAUAUAACUAAAUUAACCAAACCAAUAAUUUUGUAUUUGUAAAUGAAGUGAGUCAAAGUUAAAAACUUUGAUGGGUCUUUUCUAUAUGGGUUGCCCGGGACUCGAACCCGGAACUAGUCGGAUGGAGUAGAUAAUUCUUCCUUGUUACAAUAGAGAAAAAUCCCUCCCCAAAUCGUGCUUGCAUUUUUCAUUGCACACGACUUUCCCUAUGUAGAAAUAGCCAAUUUCUACUGGAGGGGCAGCGAUGAAGGCGAUAAUAAAUACAGAAGUUGCGGUCAAUAAGGUAGGGAUCAUCAAAACACCGAACCAUCCGAUGUAAAGACGAUUUUCAGUGCUAGUUAUCCAGUUGCAGAAGCGACCCCACAGGCUUGUACUUUCGCGUCUCUCUAAAAUUGCAGUCAUGGUAAGAUCUUGGUUUAUUCAAAUUGCAAGGACUCCCAAGCACACGUAUUAACUAGAAUAUAGAUAAUAGAAGGCUUGUUAUUUAACAGUAUAACAUAGACUAUAUACCAAUGUCAACCAAGUCAGCCCAAAGAUUAGCUAUCCAUCUAACUAAAUUAACCAAACCAAUAAUUUUGUAUUUGUAAAUGAAGUGAGUCAAAGUUAAAAACUUUGAUGGGUCUUUUCUAUAUGGGUUGCCCGGGACUCGAACCCGGAACUAGUCGGAUGGAGUAGAUAAUUCUUCCUUGUUACAAUAGAGAAAAAUCCCUCCCCAAAUCGUGCUUGCAUUUUUCAUUGCACACGACUUUCCCUAUGUAGAAAUAGCCAAUUUCUAUUCCAAAGAGGAAGUUCUACUAAUUUUUUUAAUUAGUAAGUUGAUUCACCUACUCUUUAUUAUAAUAAAAAGAAGAUUUUCAGUGCUAGUUAUCCAGUUGCAGAAGCGACCCCACAGGCUUGUACUUUCGCGUCUCUCUAAAAUUGCAGUCAUGGUAAGAUCUUGGUUUAUUCAAAUUGCAAGGACUCCCAAGCACACGUAUUAACUAGAAUAUAGAUAAUAGAAGGCUUGUUAUUUAACAGUAUAACAUAGACUAUAUACCAAUGUCAACCAAGUCAGCCCAAAGAUUAGCUAUCCAUAUAACUAAAUUAACCAAACCAAUAAUUUUGUAUUUGUAAAUGAAGUGAGUCAAAGUUAAAAACUUUGAUGGGUCUUUUCUAUAUGGGUUGCCCGGGACUCGAACCCGGAACUAGUCGGAUGGAGUAGAUAAUUCUUCCUUGUUACAAUAGAGAAAAAUCCCUCCCCAAAUCGUGCUUGCAUUUUUCAUUGCACACGACUUUCCCUAUGUAGAAAUAGCCAAUUUCUAUUCCAAAGAGGAAGUUCUACUAAUUUUUUUAAUUAGUAAGUUGAUUCACCUACUCUUUCUUAUAAUAAAAAGAACAUUUCAGAAUGAAAAAUAGAAAAGUUUUUUCUUGAUCAUUUAUCAACCCUUUCCUGUUUCUUAAUUUCGUCUAAUGAUUAAUUAAGAGGGUUGACCGGGUCAUUGAUACGUAUAAUAUC
rnacentral:lncRNA from 1 species